UUUGCUUGAUGCCUGGUUCGAGUGGCCAAGGCCGACAUUCAUAGACGUUGGUUAAUCCCUAAUUUCGCCAAACAAUGACGGCCUAGGCUUUUCCGGCUUUUGAAACAGGAAUUCAAGACACUAAAACGUGUGUUGAUGGCAUUUUGGGUUGGGGCUUUUCACAACUGAUGACACUGGAAAAAUAAUCCAUAGGAAACUACCUUAUGAGACCCUAGAUUUCGGUUUAGCAGUUCACCACAAAAGUGGUGAGGUGUUUUUUGGCUUUUAAUUUUAGCUGCUUGCCUCUGUUUUUAGUUCGUGUGAUUGCCUCCGCAAAGGCAGUGAAUGGAGAAUUCUCCCUAAGGUCAGCAUUUAAUUAUUGCCUCACUCUGGCUGCUAUAGUAUUACAACUCUUGGAACUUACAGCAUCGAUCCUACUAUUAAAGUUGCCUGGAGCAUGCCAGCACGUUGGACAUCGGCGUUCCAGCAACUGCCUCAGUCACUGAAUCGAGUGGGAGGCUCAUUUUGCAGUUUACUAUCUCCAUGAGCAGGUCCAGGCGCGGGACCUGUUCUAUGACUCGAUUGGGUCCUGCCCUUGUCCGUCAUCGGAAGGCUUACAGCGCCUACUGUUUUGCAGUAAGAUUUGCAGGCUUAGUACCGCCUCUGGAAACAAGGAGAGUGAAGGGGCGUUGACGAGU
rnacentral:lncRNA from 1 species